GAUGAACGCUGGCGGCGUGCCUAAUACAUGCAAGUCGAGCGAACGGACGAGAAGCUUGCUCCUCUGAUGUUAGCGGCGGACGGGUGAGUAACACGUGGAUAACCUACCUAUAAGACUGGGAUAACUUCGGGAAACCGGAGCUAAUACCGGAUAAUAUUUUGAACCGCAUGGUUCAAAAGUGAAAGACGGUCUUGCUGUCACUUAUAGAUUGAUCCGCGCUGCAUUAGCUAGUUGGUAAGGUAACGGCUUACCAAGGCAACGAUGGAUAGCCGACCUGAGAGGGGGAUCGGCCACACUGGAACGAGAGGACGGUCCAGAACCCUGCGGGAGGGAGAAGUAGGGGAUCUUCCCGAAAGGGAGAAAUGCUGAAGGGGCAACGCCGCGUGAGUGCAUGAGGUAUUAGGAUCGGAAAACUCUGUUAUUAGGGAAGGACGUAAAGCUAAGUAACUGGGGACAUCAUGGAGGGUACCAAUAGAAAAAGCACCGGUAAAUUCCUU
rnacentral:rRNA from 1 species